AACCUCUCAUGCCACUUUGUCGAAAAAUUUGAAAAAAAAUCUUUUAUUUAAACUUAAAUUACAAGUUUAAUAAAAUCUCCUGUACUACAGAGUCACAUUUUGAUGUAUUACGCAUGAUCAUUUCUGCAUUGCGGAGGUUCGGUCUGCUCAGCAAAUUCGGGAGGCUCUUUUCUGCAUAGUCGAGGCUCAUGGCGAUCGGGGGUUCCCUCCCUCCUCUGAUAGCCUUUCAUCGUCCUUAAAUUUUUUAAUUAUAUUCAACAGAUUUAUACCUUUUUAUACUUAAUUAACUUUUUUACAACUCAUACUAUGUUUUUCCUUCACUCUUCUUCAAUAUAGUUUAAUUUUAUCCUGUAUCCUCCCGUAUCUCCCUGCAUUCCUCCUGUAUCCUACUGUGUUCCCCUGUAUUCUCGAGUAUCCUACCGUUUCUUCUUUUAUCCCCUACAUCCCCCUAGAUCUCCCUGUAUCCUUAUCUUAUUUUAUAGGUAUCAAUUUGUAUUUUAAACCCUGGUUUCUCUCUUUCUAACUUGUCUACUUUUGUCACUUCUUAUAUUUUUUGUUUUAAAAUAAUUUUAUGUUACUGUUUAUAUUGUUAUCAUAAUUGUAAACACGUGCAGUACAAUUCUAUCUUAUUCAAGUUUCCCUGAUUAUGUACCACGCUCAUAAAAAUGUGUUAAAAUUGUCUAAAUGUGCCAUGUUAUUUGUUAAGUUCUAGUUUAGUGAUAUUUGUUAAUCAAAACAAAAGGUAUUUGAUGAAAUUUUACGAUCUAUAUUAAUUAUCUGAAAAUAUUCUAAAUAAUUUUUCAUUCUUUAUUUCUGAAAUUAAAACUAGUUGAUUAUACCAGCAAUCAAAAGUCGUAAUAAAUUGAUGAAUAUA